rnacentral:rRNA from 1 species
UGGGGAAUUUUGGACAAUGGGCGAAAGCCUGAUCCAGCAAUGCCGCGUGUGUGAAGAAGGCCUUCGGGUUGUAAAGCACUUUUGUCCGGAAAGAAAUCCUUGGCUCUAAUACAGUCGGGGGAUGACGGUACCGGAAGAAUAAGCACCGGCUAACUACGUGCCAGCAGCCGCGGUAAUACGUAGGGUGCAAGCGUUAAUCGGAAUUACUGGGCGUAAAGCGUGCGCAGGCGGUUUGCUAAGACCGAUGUGAAAUCCCCGGGCUCAACCUGGGAACUGCAUUGGUGACUGGCAGGCUAGAGUAUGGCAGAGGGGGGUAGAAUUCCACGUGUGAGCAGUGAAAUGCGUAGAGAUGUGGAGGAAUACCGAUGGCGAAGGCAGCCCCCUGGGCCAAUACUGACGCUCAUGCACGAAAGCGUGGGG